GCCUAGCGAAUAUAGUGGUUAUGACCCUCGACUUGUGAUCGAGUGGGCUCGGGUUUAAAUCCCGAAUAAGGCA